UACGUAGGGUCCGAGCGUUGUCCGGAAUUACUGGGCGUAAAGAGCUCGUAGGUGGUUUGUCGCGUUGUCCGUGAAAACUCACAGCUCAACUGUGGGCGUGCGGGCGAUACGGGCAGACUGGAGUACUGCAGGGGAGACUGGAAUUCCUGGUGUAGCGGUGGAAGUGCGCAGAUAUCAGGAGGAACACCGGUGGCGAAGGCGGGUCUCUGGGCAGUAACUGACGCUGGAGGAG
rnacentral:rRNA from 1 species